UCGCCCCGCCCUCUCUGUUGGGGUGGUUGGGCGUUUUGCUGUAAUGGGCCUCUUGUUCGGUUCUUUUCACCCGCUGUUCUUAAAUCCAGGGCCAUCGCGCUGUUUGUGAGGCUCACCCCGGAGAUGAGAAGCGGAGAGGCAAGGCCAACGUUACGGAGAAUCCAGGGGCGAUGGGUCUCCGGCUGAAAAGAAAUGGAGGAUAUGAUGGGAAGAGGGAGAGGAAUAAACGCGUGUGCCCUAGCAAUAUUGAAGACAAAUUGGGUUCAAAAUAAGUUAGAGAGGCAUGCCAUUUUUUAUUUUUAUUUUUUGAGUUCUAUUUGGUUACUUCCCUUAGGGGGAGAGAAUGUAGGAGCUGUUGGUAGGUUUGGGCGUAGGUGUGUGACCCCGGAGGGUCUUGAAUGAUUUGUGAGAAUGCGUCGACUUUUAAUUCAACGAAACUUUCCUGCAACACCCUUUGAAACAAUGCGGAAUUAAGGAAAUUAGCUCGAAAGAAUGAUUGCUUCCCCCCCCACCACCCACUUGUAUACUUUGUCCAGAUUCCAGACAAAAAGACUCAGCUCAAGGAAGUCCAUUCUUGGAGAUGUUGGAAAGAUUCCUGGGUCUCGGAAGAUGACUUGAAAUAUGCAGGGGAAGUAGUGUAUCUUUGUGUCUUAACUAUAGAAUAAAAUUGAAGGGUGUUUUUCUUAGAAAACAUUUGUCUGAUUUAUCUGAUCAUUGAAGAUUUAUAUAAUAAGUGAUAAACCUAUGUGACAUUUUAUAAAAAUGGAUAAUCAAAAGAGGGAAUUGGUCAACAAAGGUGACAGCAGUAAAGAAACAAAAAGUGAUAACACUGGAGGUGAAAUUGAAUGUGAUUAGAUUUGAAAAUGGUGAUAGCAGACAAGAUGAGAUCUAAGCCUACAUGAAGCUACAGUUCAUAUUUUAAAAGCUGAUGAAUAUAAAAAACAAAGUAAAGUUGCAUCAACAUUUUAACUUUAAGUUUUACUGGGAACAGAAAGCCACUUAUGGUUGAAAUGGAGCAUUUACUUCUACUUUAGAUUGAGGACUGUAAUCAACAAAUCCCACUCAUUUUCACUAGCAUUCAGUCCAAAAUGUCAAAGUGCUACAUUGCAAGAAAUGAUAAUUAUAAGAAGAACAUUUUACUGCCAGUAAAGACUGGUUUCAUCGCUUCAGAAGUCUGCAUGAAUUCAUUAACCUUAAAUUGUCUGGUGAAACUGCAAGCUCAGGGAAGGAUGCUACUGUGAAAUUUGUACCCAAAUUCUAAGAAUUACAGGUAGUCCUGGCUUUGCACACUAGUGCAACACUACUGUGUAAAAAAACUGCAGGAUUUGGAUGGAAUGUAAAUGGAAUUAUAGAAGAUAUAGAUGACCAUGGGAAGUUGGCACUGCCUCCAUUCAAGUAGUAGUAGUUCUGGAUAUGUAGUCAGAGGAAUUCAGUGAAGUCAAACAUGGUUGUGAGGAAAGUGGUUGGGUCAUAAAGGAUGAAUGUGUAUCAGAGGAAGUGAUGCAGAUGAAAAACUUCCCAUUAAAGGAACUCUCAGAUUUUUCUGCCAUUGAAAGCACAAAGGAUAAGAUUUCAGAAGCUAAUCCAAAUUUAGAAAAGAGUAUGAUAAUUUGCCAAGGUAU